rnacentral:rRNA from 1 species
AGGGUUUGAUCAUGGCUCAGAACGAACGCUGGCGGCGUGCUUAACACAUGCAAGUCGAACGAGAAAGCCCUUCGGGGUGAGUAGAGUGGCGCACGGGUGAGUAACACGUAGGUGACCUACCAUGUAGUGGGGGAUAACUAGAAGAAAUUCUAGCUAAUACCGCAUAAGUUGAACAAUUUUGAAAGUAGUUCAAGAAAGAAUGCCUCUAUACUAUGCAUUCACUAUUUGAUGGGCCUGCGGGACAUUAGCUUGAUGGUGGGGUAACGGCCUACCAUGGCGACGAUGUCUAGCGGAUCUGAGAGGAUGAUCCGUCACACUGGAACUGAGACACGGUCCAGACUCCUACGGGAGGCAGCAGUGGGGAAUAUUGCGCAAUGGGCGAAAGCCUGACGCAGCAACGCCGCGUGAGUGAGGAAGGCCUUCGGGUUGUAAAGCUCUGUCAAUGUGGAAAAACAGCUUUAUAUCUAAUAGGUGUAGAGUUUGAUGGUACACAUAAAGGAAGCACCGGCUAACUUCGUGCCAGCAGCCGCGGUAAUACGAAGGGUGCGAGCGUUGUUCGGAUUUAUUGGGCGUAAAGCGGGUGCAGGCGGAUAAGUAAGUCAGAUGUGAAAUCUCGGGGCUCAACCCCGAAACUGCGUCUGAAACUACCUAUCUAGAAUCUCGUAGAGGGAGGCGGAAUUUCACAUGUAGGAGUAAAAUCCGUAGAGAUGUGAAGGAACACCAGAGGCGAAGGCGGCCUCCUGGGCGAGAAUUGACGCUGUAGCCGAAAGCGUGGGGAGCAAACAGGAUUAGAUACCCUGGUAGUCCACGCCGUAAACACUGUGCACUAGAUUUAGGGGGAGUUGACCCCUUCUGAAUCGAAGCUAACGCAUUAAGUGCACCGCCUGGGGAGUACGGUCGCAAGACUAAAACUCAAAGGAAUUGACGGGGGCCCGCACAAGCGGUGGAUUAUGUGGUUUAAUUCGAAGCAACGCGCAGAACCUUACCUAGGCUUGAAAUCCUACGAAUCCGGCCCAAAAGCUGGAGUGCCCCUCGGGGAAUGUAGAGACAGGCGCUGCAUGGCUGUCGUCAGCUCGUGUCGUGAGAUGUUGGGUUAAGUCUCGCAACGAGCGCAACCCCUAUCUUUAGUUGCCAGCAUUAAGUUGGGCACUCUAGAGAGACUGCCUGGGUUAACCAGGAGGAAGGUGGGGAUGACGUCAAGUCCUCAUGGCCCUUAUGCCUAGGGCUACACACGUAAUACAAUGGUUAGUACAGAGGGAAGCGAACUCGCGAGGGGGAGCUAAUCUCAAAAAGCUAAUCUCAGUCCGGAUUGGAGUCUGCAACUCGACUCCAUGAAGUUGGAAUCGCUAGUAAUCGCGGAUCAGCACGCCGCGGUGAAUACGUUCCCGGGCCUUGUACACACCGCCCGUCACACCAUGGGAGUUGGCCUUGCCUGAAGCCGUGGCCUUAACCUUUUAGGAGGGGAGCGUCUACGGCCGGGCCGAUGACUGGGGUGAAGUCAUAACAAGGUAACCGUA